rnacentral:rRNA from 1 species
UACGGAGGGUGCAAGCGUUGUUCGGAAUCACUGGGCGUAAAGCGCGUGUAGGCGGCCUCCUAAGUCUGGUGUGAAAGCCCGGGGCUUACCCCCGGAAGUGCACUGGAUACUGGGAGACUAGAGUACCGGAGAGGAGGGUGGAAUUCCUGGUGUAGCGGUGAAAUGCGUAGAUAUCAGGAAGAACACCGGUGGCGAAGGCGGCCCUCUGGACGGAUACUGACGCUGAGACACGAAAGCGUGGGGAGCAAACAGG